AAAAAGGACUUGGCAGCCCAGCCGGGUGUAGCUCAGCCGUUGAGAGUCGAUCCAGGAACCAGGGGGUCGCCGGUUCGAUUCCUGGUCAGGGGAUACACCCAGGU